AACUCUUUCCACACCUAAGCAGCCCUGCAAAUCAAAUACCAGAAAUCACAAUCAAACUCGAUCAUACGAAUCACUGAGUAACGAACUCAACUCAAAAGAACUCGUCGCCAUGAAAAUUUUUGUACCUGCUUUCUUAGGGAGGGAUCUCCAGUGACCUUCACCGUGAGCUUGAAUGUACUUGACAAGCAAUGUGUCUUCUCUAGGAGUCCAUGGACCUCUAUGCAACCCUAUUUUAGAACAACAAGGAGCUCUUCCCAUCUCUCUUUUCUUUAUAUUUUUC